rnacentral:rRNA from 1 species
AAACUUGAGAGUUUGAUCAUGGCUCAGAACGUACGCUGGCGGCACGCCUAACACAUGCAAGUCGAACGAAGUAGCAAUACUUAGUGGCAGACGGGUGAGUAACAUGUAGGUAUCUGCCCUUUGGCCUGGAAUAACACGAGGAAACUUGUGCUAAUACCGGAUAAGUCUUUACGGAGAAAGCUUUAUGCACCAUUGGAUGAGCCUGCACUUGAUUAGUUUGUUGGUGGGGUAAUGGCCUACCAAGACUGUGAUCAAUAGCUGAUUUGAGAGGAUGAUCAGCCACAUUGGGACUGAGACACGGCCCAAACUCCUACGGGAGGCAGCAGUGGGGAAUCUUGCACAAUGGAGGAAACUCUGAUGCAGCGAUGCCGCGUGAGUGAAGAAGGCCCUUGGGUUGUAAAGCUCUUUCGUCGGGGAAGAAAAUGACUGUACCCGAAUAAGAAGGUCCGGCUAACUUCGUGCCAGCAGCCGCGGUAAUACGAAGGGACCUAGCGUAGUUCGGAAUUACUGGGCUUAAAGAGUUCGUAGGUGGUUGAAAAAGUUGGUGGUGAAAUCCCAGAGCUUAACUCUGGAACUGCCAUCAAAACUUUUCAGCUAGAGUAUGAUAGAGGAAAGUAGAAUUUCUAGUGUAGAGGUGAAAUUCGUAGAUAUUAGAAAGAAUACCAAUUGCGAAGGCAGCUUUCUGGAUCAUUACUGACACUGAGGAACGAAAGCAUGGGUAGCGAAGAGGAUUAGAUACCCUCGUAGUCCAUGCCGUAAACGAUGUGUGUUAGACGUUGGAAAUUUAUUUUCAGUGUCGCAGCGAAAGCGAUAAACACACCGCCUGGGGAGUACGACCGCAAGGUUAAAACUCAAAUGAAUUGACGGGGACCCGCACAAGUAGUGGAGCAUGUGGUUUAAUUCGAAGAUACGCGCAGAACCUUACCAACACUUGACAUGUUCGUCGCGACUCUAAGAGAUUAGAGUUUUCGGUUCGGCCGGACGAAACACAGGUGCUGCAUGGCUGUCGUCAGCUCGUGUCGUGAGAUGUUGGGUUAAGUCCCGCAACGAGCGCAACCCUCACUUUUAGUUGCCAUCAUUAAGUUGGGCACUCUGAAAGAACUGCCAGUGAUAAGCUGGAGGAAGGUGGGGAUGACGUCAAGUCCUCAUGGCCCUUACGUGUUGGGCUACACACGUGCUACAAUGGUAUCUACAACAGGAAGCAAGACUGCGAAGUUAAGCAAAUCCUUAAAAGAUACCUCAGUUCGGAUUGCACUCUGCAACUCGAGUGCAUGAAGCUGGAAUUACUAGUAAUCGUGGAUCAGCGUGCCACGGUGAAUGCGUUCCCGGGUCUUGUACACACCGCCCGUCACACCAUGGGAGUUGGUUCUACCUUAAGGCAAGGUUUUAAACCCUUGACCACGGUAUAGUCAGCGACUGGGGUGAAGUCGUAACAAGGUAGCCGUAGGGGAACCUGCGGCUGGAUUACCUCCUUU